rfam:Pteropus alecto contig4341, whole genome shotgun sequence.
GCUGUCUAGGCCAUACCACCCUUAACAAGCCCGAUCCCGUCUGAUCUCGGAAGCUAAGCAGGGUCGGGCCUGGUUAGUACUUGGAUGGGAGACCACCUAGGAAGACCAGGUGCUGUAAGCA